rnacentral:rRNA from 1 species
AUUGAACGCUAGCGGGAUGCUUUACACAUGCAAGUCGAACGGCAGCGCGGACUUCGGUCUGGCGGCGAGUGGCGAACGGGUGAGUAAUGUAUCGGAACGUGCCCAGUAGCGGGGGAUAACUACGCGAAAGCGUAGCUAAUACCGCAUACGCCCUACGGGGGAAAGCAGGGGAUCGUAAGACCUUGCACUAUUGGAGCGGCCGAUAUCGGAUUAGCUAGUUGGUAAGGUAACGGCUCACCAAGGCGACGAUCCGUAGCUGGUUUGAGAGGACGACCAGCCACACUGGGACUGAGACACGGCCCAGACUCCUACGGGAGGCAGCAGUGGGGAAUUUUGGACAAUGGGGGCAACCCUGAUCCAGCCAUCCCGCGUGUGCGAUGAAGGCCUUCGGGUUGUAAAGCACUUUUGGCAGGAAAGAAACGUCGCGGGCUAAUACCCCGUGGAACUGACGGUACCUGCAGAAUAAGCACCGGCUAACUACGUG